rnacentral:lncRNA from 1 species
CCAUCCAUUCAUUUGUCCAUCCAUUCACUUGUCCAUGUAUGCGUGCAUCUAUCUGUCCAUGUACCCAUUCAAUGACUGGUUUAUAAAGAGUUGAAUGUCAUGUUUUAUACUGCUAGGUAUCAGGGGCCCUACCAGCAAUGGUCUCUUUGUUCAGCACUCCCAGCUGUCCACAGAAUACAAAUUCUCCUGUAACUGGUUAACUCCUGGGAGGAGGAAUUUUUGUCACCUGGCACACCCCUAUAGCUCUUUUGUUAAUAGCCAAAAUGCAUCUCUGUCAUCAAGAGCAGAGCCUUCUCUGCAGCAUCAGCUUCUUAGCUAAAGUAGCCAUGAGGUGAGGACCCUCCAGCUUACAAUUUCUCCUCAAUGUUUUAUAAAGACAACCUUUCCACAUUUGCAGGCUCUCCGGAAAGUUCAGGGGACAUCGUGGGCCACAGAGAAUGUCCUCUAUCUGGCCAACAGCUGCGUUUUGGAGAAGAUUCCAGCGUUCAUAGCAGCUGCAAGUGCUGGGGUGCUGCUGCCAGCCCCUCCCUCCAUUCAUUCCAUUAAGCAAUUAACUGAAUGAAAAGGUUGGAAGAACUUCAUUCCACUGCGGUGGCAGCUUUCCUCUGGCAGGGAAGGCUCAGCAUUCUGCUCACAGAUGCUGCUGGCUUCUUGGGCCACCUCCGGGGAGGGGAGGUCUGCAGGAUGGGCCCAGGGUUCCAGCCCAGCAGGGCACCCUCACAGCUGCUGCAUUAUCUCUCUUCCAUGUGUGUUCUCAGGUCUGGGAGCUGGCGUGGCUCCAGGCCUGGCUUCAUCAGAGCUCCCUAUCCACAGCACCCGUGUGAGUGCCAUGCAGCCGUGUCUGGCUGGUAGCUCUUAGUAAUCAGAGCUUCCCAAGUAGGGUGACAGGAAAGGGCUCCUGGCACACCUAGGUAUUGGUCACCCACCUUGGUGGAGCCGGAGCUGUGUGAGCUUCGAGACCUUUUACCUCCAGCCUUUGUCUGUUUACUCCACGAUGACCUGAAGUGUGGUCUAUGCAUGUGCUGAUACCAAAAAAUAAAAUAAAAUGAUUCUGAGGAAUACUGUCCU